rnacentral:lncRNA from 1 species
UUCUUAUAGAGACGAAUUUAUUUUAUUACGUCAAUGAAUUUUGAAUACAGUUGCUACAAAUUUAUCAAUACCUCCAAAUUUAAAAGAUAAGGGGACAUCAUACAUAAAACUUUUUGCGGCUUUAUUUUCUUUCAUUUCCACAAUCCUAGAUUACAAUAUCAUAACUUCAAAGUCCAUGAAAUUAAGAAGAAAAAAUACGAAUAUUUGAAACAUGAAAAAUAAAAGACAACUUGUGGAAUAUUCUAGCAUUAGAUAUAUUAUAUAGUUUAUUUGCUAGCCCAUGUACUCACUCAUCUCAGAUUCAGAAGCCCUGUACACAUUCGCCAUUACGACACCUAAUUUUAAUUUUUCCCAUUUGUGGACAAUCUUUAUCCGUUACACAAUGUUGUUUAAGCACCCAAGGACUAGUAACAGAAUGAGAUACUAUAAUGACAAGAAAUAAGGAAAUAAAUAGAAUCAGAAGAUAAACAGAUUUUAAAGUUUCAGCCAUAUUUUUCCCUCUUU